rnacentral:rRNA from 1 species
AUGAUGGUUUUCAAGAAAGAAAGGGAGUUGCUUCAAGUUGCCCUAAAGGAUGUGGACUUCAUUAGUCUAACAACCGACUUGUGGACUAGCAACCAGACCAUAUCAUAUAUGUGUGUGGUUGCACACUUUAUAGAUAAGGAUUGGAAGAUGCAAACACGUGUUCUUUCUUUCAUAGAUUUGGAUCCUCCUCACUCCGGGCAUGUGAUUUUAGAUGCUAUCUAUGAGUGUGUGACUGAAUGGAAGAUAGAGAAGAAAAUUAUAUCCAUCACACUAGACAAUGCUACAAACAAUGAUGUUGCGGUCAGAGGUUUGAAGGCAAAGUUUGCUGUUCGGAGAGGUAUGGACUUUGAAGCCAAAUAUUUCCAUGUCCGUUGUUGUGCACACAUUAUCAACUUGGUGGUGCAAGAUGGGACAACCAUCAUGGCCCCUUUGAUAGAGAAUUUGAGAGAGACGGUUAAGUAUUUCAAGAAGUCACCGAGUCGCCUCCACAAGUUUGUUGAGACUUGCAAAAUAUUGGGUGUUGAGGUUGGCAACCAUUUGCAUCUUGAUUGUGUCACGCGGUGGAGUUCAACGUACCGGAUGCUUGAUACAGCCUGCCCGUAUAGGGAAGCCUUGUCCUCUUAUGCAGCUUCAAAUGCCAACUACCAAUGGGAGCUGGAAAAAGAAGAAUGGGACAAGUUUGAAGUUAUUAAGCCAUUGCUCCUCUCUUUAUCUCGUGUGACAACUGUGUUUUCAGGGCAAUUAUAUCCCACCUCCAACAUAUUCUACCCUCGCAUUGUCAGCAUCAAGAUUGCUUUGAGAAAAGCCAUGGCUCAUGAUGAUGAAUGCUACAAGAAAAUGGGCGAUGCAAUGAUGGAUAAAUUUGACAAGUAUUGGGAUGAGCCGAACAAUGUCAUGGUGCUUGCUACCAUCUUGGACCCAAGGUACAAGAUGAGGGUGAAUGCACCUAGAUACCCCAUAUUGGCAAUGAUGGCAAAGAGGUUCUUGACUGUCCCGGCUACCUCCAUGUCUUCGGAAUCAACUUUUAGCAUGGGUGGAAGAGUUUUAGAUGACUACAGGAGUUCUUUGAAACCAGAAAUGGUGGAAGCCUUGGUGUGCGGUGCUAGUUAUAUCAAAGGUUCUCACAAGGACUUCAAUGUGGUGUUUUCGCUAGUCAUUGUUUCGCUGUCAACAUUUUCUCAGUUUUUAUGUCAAAGUGUGGCUGCAAAAAAAAUCAAGACUGGACUAUAUACAGAGGUUCUGUACUUCUGGGGGCAAAUGGCUUGCGAGCCAGCUCGGUCUGAGCCAAGCCGCCUGAAGUCGGCUUGUUGGCUGAGCGAGCCGAGCCGAGCCGAGCCGCUCCAGAGCGAGCCAAAGCCAGGCUCGGAUCAAGCUCGGCUCGGCUCGGCUCGUGUCCAGUCCUACUUGCAGAACUCUGACUUGGCGGCCGCCUCCCUGGGCAGCAGCGUCACGAGGAGGAGCACGCACAGCGCGGCCAUGGUGGCCGCCCCCUUCAGCUUCUUCGCCUCCAUCUCCUUCCUCGCGCAAGCUAUGGGCUAUGGCUUCUUCUUCUUCGGGAUCAGGGAGUGGAGACAAGUGCUAUGCAUCAAGCAUCGUAUUUCGCUGUUUUUCGGAAAUUGGGACGGGCACGAUUUUCCCUAG